rnacentral:rRNA from 1 species
UACGGAGGGUGCAAGCGUUAUCCGGAUUUACUGGGUUUAAAGGGUGCGUAGGCGGGCCCUUAAGUCAGUGGUGAAAGCUCCGAGCUUAACUCGGAAACUGCCAUUGAUACUAUAGGUCUUGAAUUCGGUCGAGGUUGGCGGAAUGUGUCGUGUAGCGGUGAAAUGCUUAGAUAUGACACAGAACACCGAUUGCGAAGGCAGCUAGCUAGACCGACAUUGACGCUGAGGCACGAAAGCGUGGGGAUCAAACAGGAUUAGAAACCCUGGUAGUCCACGCCCUAAACUAUGAUUACUCGAUGUUGGCGAUACACUGCCAGCGUCUAAGCGAAAGCAUUAAGUAAUCCACCUGGGGAGUACGAUCGCAAGAUUGAA